CUUUGAGCCUCUGAGCCUGUUGACCGUCACAAGAGAGAGAAAGAGCAAGCAAUCGAUUUGUUUGUGCAACUCCACAUGCGUUCUUCUCAGUCUUUUGCUUCCAUUUUCACUUUCUGAAAAGCUCUCUGUUCCUUUUGGCUUUGUUUAACUAUUCAUUUCUCCAUGUUUUAUCUUUCGUAGGGUUGGUUUUGUUGCAAUAACUCAUUACCCAGCAAGAGCAAAACAAGGAGAGAAGCUAUAUCUUUGAUUUCCCUCAUUUUCUCGCGAAACAGACAGAAAAUUUCUGCAAUUGGUUUAAAAAAAACUCCCAUUCCCUACCAGGUACCUUUCUUUCCACUUUUAGGGUCGAUCCCUUGUGAAAUAGCUUGAUAACCAAUGAUUGCCAAACCUUAGGAUAUCCGAUUUGGUGGGUUACAUCAUUUUCCUUAGAAAUCCAAAAAUAUAUGAGUUUUCAAUGGGAAAAUAAAUGCUAUAUGUAAUACCAUUACCGUGAAGAAACUUAGUCCCUAUUGAUACCUGACACAAUGCGGGACCAGACAGAAAUUAUUGUUGAAAAGAGAGAGGAGGUAAUGCUAUCAUCUGCUAGAAAUGCAAGUCCAACCCUAAGAACAGCCCAUUUUCUGAAUCCUACUCGGGCUUCUAUUAAAGCGCUAGUCCCCAAAAACCCUUCACUCUGCCCCUCUACUUUGCCUCCCACUUUUGAUCCUGAAAAUUGGCCUAUCGAUGCGACGUUCUAUGGUUGGCAAGAGCCAACAGCGAAUUGGAAAUCAUGGGUUCGUCACAUGGAAGGUAUGUAUGAGCCUGUGUGGAAAAGGGCAGGCAUUCAUUCAGCAAUCUUGAGUUCUACUUACAGGGUUCAAAGAGACUAUGACUGGAUCAUUGGCCUUGCCGAAAAAUGGUGUCCUGAGACCAACACAUUUAUCUUUCCAUGGGCAGAAGCAACUGUGACACUAGAAGAUGUGGUCAUUUUGGGAGGGUACUCUGUUUUAGGGUCCCCUUUUUUUUCAUGCUCUCGUGAAAUCAGGGAAGAUAAAGAAAUUGAAGAUAAACUGAAAGAAGCUAGAAGUGAAGUAGGAAGGGGACUAACUCGUGGGGUCUGCCAAAUUGGAUGGAUGGAAGAGUUUAUGUUUAGUGGCAGUGAAAUAGAGCACGAAGCAUUUCUUUCAUUGUGGUUGGAAAUGUUUGUUUUCCAUGAUUCUGAGAACACACUUAGAGAUUGUAUAUUUCCUAUUGCAAUCCAUUUAGCGAAAGGGGAAGUUGUUGCGCUUGCUCCUGCAGUUCUGGCUAGCAUAUAUAGAGAUUUGGGUUUGUUAAAAGCAACAAUCGUUGCUGUUACUGAGUUUAGGAGAAGAGACUAUGCUGAUAUAUUAGCAGUUGCUCUAUGGUCGCCACUUCAUUUGGUUCAACUUUGGGCAUGGGAGAGAUUUCCAGCCUUCCAGCCACAGGCCAGUUCCAUCAGAAAUGGUGAACCCAGAUCAGCUCUAUGGGACAAAGUCAAAAGCAGGAAAGUUGAGAAUGUGAGGUUCGUGUUGGACUCAGCAACAGAGACUUUUUGCUGGCGGCCUUAUGCCACGGGAAGAUAUGGUCUUGAAUUUUACAAAGAGAAAGAAGAAUGGCGAGAACUGGGAUCAAAUCAAGAUUUGUUGUCAUUUGCUCUAUGCUUGAGAGUGUCUGAGCUGGUUGGUAUAGGUUGUAUUGAACAAUAUCUUCCCCAUCGAGUGGCAAGGCAGUUUGGAUUCGAUCAGGAUAUUCCUUGUGACAUUGCUAAAUCUAACGGCAUCCCAGAACUUGCUUGGAUCAAUUACAUUAGGCCAUUUAGUGUUACCAAAUUGUUUGUUCCAUCUCCAUUCUUUGUGCCUGAUGUUACUAUAAAAUACUUGAGGUGGUGGAAACAGUCAGAGUUGGAUUCGCAUGAUCUGCUCAAGAAUGCGAUAAUUGCCGCUGUGCGAAGAAAAAGAAGCUCAAGGAAAAGAUCAGAAGGACUGCCAAAGGCUUGGAUAGGAAAGAAGGGAGAUAAUAAUGUAGGUAUUUUUCCUAGUCCUUCCAAUGCAAAAGCAAAUAAUGGAGCUCUGUCUGAGGUGAAGUCACUACAGAAACCAGUAGAAUGCAUUAUGAAUCUCAAUACUGAAAUAGGCAGACCAGUAAGAGCUUUGGAUAAUCAAGCUGGGAUUCCACGUUGCCAUACUCCUAGCAAGAGUAGAGUUGGAGGAGAAAACAGUGCGUUUGAGGUACCAGGAUUGGCACUUGAAUCUCGGAUUGCCAUACUUGAGAAAGCUAUCGCUGAGCUAAAAGCUGCAAGAUUUGGCAGCAGGUUUGAGAAAAAUUGUUCAUAAAAGGGCUCCUACCGACUGUUUAGGGCGUAGCAGUUCAAAGUAUUUACUUGCUUUAGUUUAUUUGGUUCAGUGCAUGGUGUAUUAAGAAACGUUAAACUCUGUAAAUGUAACGGCUGAUUUGAGUACAUUAGCAUAGUAUCUGGUACAGGAAAGAACAGAAUCCCGCGGAGUUACAGCAAUAUGGAAAGCACAAAAGAAAGAAAUUAAAAUGCACUAAUACAGUAUAUGCGAUUGCUUUUUCUUAA
rnacentral:misc_RNA from 1 species